rnacentral:rRNA from 1 species
AGGGCAUGGCUGGGUAGCUAUGUACGGAAUGGAUAAGCGCUGAAAGCAUCUAAGCGCGAAGCCAACUUCAAGAUAAGAUUUCCCACCGCAAGGGUAAGACUCCAGAAAGACUAUCUGGUUGAUAGGUCGAAGGUGUAAGUGCAGCAAUGUAUUUAGCUUAUCGAUACUAAUAGGUCGAGGACUUGACCAAUAUUUAUU